rnacentral:rRNA from 1 species
AGCGAACGCUGGCGGCAGGCUUAACACAUGCAAGUCGAACGGGCACUUCGGUGCUAGUGGCAGACGGGUGAGUAACACGUGGGAACGUACCUUUCGGUUCGGAAUAAUCCAGGGAAACUUGGACUAAUACCGGAUACGCCCUUCGGGGGAAAGAUUCAUCGCCGAUAGAUCGGCCCGCGUCUGAUUAGCUAGUUGGUGAGGUAAUGGCUCACCAAGGCGACGAUCAGUAGCUGGUCUGAGAGGAUGAUCAGCCACAUUGGGACUGAGGCACGGCCCAAACUCCUACGGGAGGCAGCAGUGGGGAAUAUUGGACAAUGGGCGCAAGCCUGAUCCAGCCAUGCCGCGUGAGUGAUGAAGGCCUUAGGGUUGUAAAGCUCUUUUGUCCGGGAAGAUAAUGACUGUACCGGAAGAAUAAGCCCCGGCUAACUUCGUG